UACGGAGGGGGCUAGCGUUGUUCGGAAUUACUGGGCGUAAAGCGCGCGUAGGCGGCUUUGUAAGUUAGAGGUGAAAGCCCGAAGCUCAACUUCGGAAUUGCCUUUAAGACUGCAUCGCUAGAAUCGUGGAGAGGUGAGUGGAAUUCCGAGUGUAGAGGUGAAAUUCGUAGAUAUUCGGAAGAACACCAGUGGCGAAGGCGACUCACUGGACACGUAUUGACGCUGAGGUGCGAAAGCGUGGGGAGCAAACAGG
rnacentral:rRNA from 2 species